GCAACAGCUCAGAUUUGGAAUCUGGCCCCCCCCGGGGGCCCGAGUUGUAAUCUGGARAGGAUGCUUCUGGCGCGGCGCCCGGCGAGUUCCCUGGAACGGGACGCCGGARAGGGUGAGAGCCCCGUACUCCGGGCCGCCUAGCCUCUGCGAAGCUCCUUCGACRAGUCRAGUAGUUUGGGAAUGCUGCUCUAAACGGGAGGUAAAUUUCUUCUAAAGCUAAAUACCGGCCARARACCGAUAGCGCACAAGUAAAGUGAUCGAAAGAUGAAAAGCACUUUGAAAAGAGGGUCAAACAGUACGUGAAAUUGUUGAAAGGGAAGCGCCCGUGGCCAGACUUGCGCCCCGCGGCUCACCCGGCGGACCCCGCCGGGGCACGCCGCGGGGCGCAGGCCAGCAUCGGCUUCCCCAGGGGGACAAGGACGGCGGGAACGUGGCUCCUCCGGGAGUGUUAUAGCCCGCCGCGCCAUGCCCCUGGGGGGGCCGAGGACCGCGCUUCGG
rnacentral:rRNA from 2 species